rnacentral:rRNA from 1 species
GAUGAACGCUGGCGGCGUGCCUAAUACAUGCAAGUCGAGCGAACAGAUGAGGAGCUUGCUCCUCUGACGUUAGCGGCGGACGGGUGAGUAACACGUGGAUAACCUACCUAUAAGACUGGGAUAACUUCGGGAAACCGGAGCUAAUACCGGAUAAUAUAUUGAACCGCAUGGUUCAAUAGUGAAAGACGGUUUUGCUGUCACUUAUAGAUGGAUCCGCGCCGCAUUAGCUAGUUGGUAAGGUAACGGCUUACCAAGGCGACGAUGCGUAGCCGACCUGAGAGGGUGAUCGGCCACACUGGAACUGAGACACGGUCCAGACUCCUACGGGAGGCAGCAGUAGGGAAUCUUCCGCAAGGGGCGAAAGCCUGACGGAGCAACGCCGCGUGAGUGAUGAAGGUCUUCGGAUCGUAAAACUCUGUUAUUAGGGAAGAACAAAUGUGUAAGUAACUAUGCACGUCUUGACGGUACCUAAUCAGAAAGCCACGGCUAACUACGUG